GACCCAGUGGUGCAACGGACAUCAUAUCUGCAUAUUGUAACAUGUCUUAAUUUCCGCAGGAGAUCCUCGUUCGACUCGGGGCUGGGUCA